rnacentral:rRNA from 1 species
AGUGAACGCUGGCGGUAGGCCUAACACAUGCAAGUUGAACGGCAGCACAGUAAGAGCUUGCUCUUACGGGUGGCGAGUGGCGGACGGGUGAGGAAUACAUCGGAAUCUACUUUUUCGUGGGGGAUAACGUAGGGAAACUUACGCUAAUACCGCAUACGACCUACGGGUGAAAGCAGGGGAUCUUCGGACCUUGCGCGAUUGAAUGAGCCGAUGUCGGAUUAGCUAGUUGGCGGGGUAAAGGCCCACCAAGGCGACGAUCCGUAGCUGGUCUGAGAGGAUGACCAGCCACACUGGAACUGAGACACGGUCCAGACUCCUACGGGAGGCAGCAGUGGGGAAUAUUGGACAAUGGGCGCAAGCCUGAUCCAGCCAUACCGCGUGGGUGAAGAAGGCCUUCGGGUUGUAAAGCCCUUUUGUUGGGAAAGAAAAGCAGCAGGUUAAUACCCCGCUGUUCUGACGGUACCCAAAGAAUAAGCACCGGCUAACUUCGUG